rnacentral:rRNA from 1 species
GACGUAGGGCGCGAGCGUUGUCCGGAUUUAUUGGGCGUAAAGAGCUCGUAGGCGGCUUGUUGCGUCGACCGUGAAAACCCGGGGCUCAACUUCGGGCUUGCGGUCGAUACGGGCGGGCUAGAGUUCGGUAGGGGAGACUGGAAUUCCUGGUGUAGCGGUGAAAUGCGCAGAUAUCAGGAGGAACACCGGUGGCGAAGGCGGGUCUCUGGGCCGAAAUUGACGCUGAGGAGCGAAAGCGUGGGGAGCGAACAGG